rnacentral:rRNA from 1 species
UCUGCCCUUCACUCUGGGACAAGCCCUGGAAACGGGGUCUAAUACCGGAUAACACUCUGUCCUGCAUGGGACGGGGUUGAAAGCUCCGGCGGUGAAGGAUGAGCCCGCGGCCUAUCAGCUUGUUGGUGGGGUAAUGGCCUACCAAGGCGACGACGGGUAGCCGGCCUGAGAGGGCGACCGGCCACACUGGGACUGAGACACGGCCCAGACUCCUACGGGAGGCAGCAGUGGGGAAUAUUGCACAAUGGGCGAAAGCCUGAUGCAGCGACGCCGCGUGAGGGAUGACGGCCUUCGGGUUGUAAACCUCUUUCAGCAGGGAAGAAGCGCAAGUGACGGUACCUGCAGAAGAAGCGCCGGCUAACUACGUGCCAGCAGCCGCGGUAAUACGUAGGGCGCAAGCGUUGUCCGGAAUUAUUGGGCGUAAAGAGCUCGUAGGCGGCUUGUCACGUCGGAUGUGAAAGCCCGGGGCUUAACCCCGGGUCUGCAUUCGAUACGGGCUAGCUAGAGUGUGGUAGGGGAGAUCGGAAUUCCUGGUGUAGCGGUGAAAUGCGCAGAUAUCAGGAGGAACACCGGUGGCGAAGGCGGAUCUCUGGGCCAUUACUGACGCUGAGGAGCGAAAGCGUGGGGAGCGAACAGGAUUAGAUACCCUGGUAGUCCACGCCGUAAACGUUGGGAACUAGGUGUUGGCGACAUUCCACGUCGUCGGUGCCGCAGCUAACGCAUUAAGUUCCCCGCCUGGGGAGUACGGCCGCAAGGCUAAAACUCAAAGGAAUUGACGGGGGCCCG